UUAAGAUUUAGAGUAGGUUCAUACAUUAUUAAUCAAGUCUAAACAUGUAUUUGAAAGUAAAACCUAAAUACAUAACUAAAGAGAUUUUACAAAAAAAUGCAAUUGAAUUAUUAAAAUGAAUGUAUUAAAUAAACAAUAGUAAUUUGAAGUUCUAUCGUAAACUGAAGCAAUCGAAGUCGACACAAUAACACCAAACCCAGAUCCUGAUGUAAGCUACCCUGAAGCGCACACUUCACAGAUAAAAAGUGCAAAUCUACUUCCUCCUAUAAUAGUCAAAGGAAUUAAAGAUUUUGUAAGUCAACGCUCGGAACUCACUUAACUUAAACUUAAACUUAACUCAACUCAACUUACUUUAUUGUUGGUGGUGAUCUCAAUGCCACAACACCAUAACACACCCAAUGAGGAUGUCACUCAAACUCACCAAGAGGUAACGCUCUCAGACAAGUUAUUACUGCCAAAAACUACUUAAUCAUCUCACCCCAACUUCACCUCGAAAGCGACCAGAUAUCCUUGACAUAUUCGUCUCUAAAAUACCGAACCGAUUCAACACUAUCAUAGAUAAUCUAACAAAUCCUCACUCAGACCACUCGCCAGUACUUCUCACCCUCGCCACCUCUCCUCUAAAAAGAUCAAUGAAUCCAUCAUUAAUCAAUGGAAGAGUUAACUGGGAAAAAUUCCAAACUAUACUUACAAACAACAUUAACCUGAACGUUAAUUUAAAAUCCCCAAACCAACUUGAAGAAUCAGUACAAUAUCUAACAUCAACUAUACAAAAUGUGGCAUGGUUCUCUUACAAACCAAAAAAAAAAAAAACUAAUAAAUUACAAUCAAAAUAAUUUCUCUUUGCCUACCUAUUUAAGAUCUCUUAUUGUUCAAAAACGUCGUGCCAGAGCAACCUGGCAGAGAACAAAAUAUCUCACCGAUAAAACUAAUUAUAAUUAUUUAGGCACAUUACUCAAAAGACAAAUGGCAAAAAAACAAACUAGAUUCUUAUCCGAAAAAGAUAGCUCCUUGUGGAAAACCACUAGAAAAAUCUUAAAAAUCAAAACAAUCUCAUUUCCAUAAAAAAACCUGACGGCAGUCUAGCUAUAAACGAUAAAGAAAAAGCAGAAGCACACAGACAUCACCUCUCCCAAGUCUUUAGCCCAAAUGAUUCCACUAAUCCUUCCAUAGAAAACAAAAUAGUAAAUUUCCUAGAUAGCCCACUCCCAAUGACACUUCCGCCCAAACCAUUCACUCCAAAUACGGUAAAAUAAUUUAUACAAAAAUUUCUAUUAGGUAAAUCACCUGGCCAUGAUUUGAUAACAGCCGAAAUAACCCGUAGAUUUCCCAAUAAAGUUAUAUUACACAUCACUCAUAUCUUUAAUGCUAUACUCCGACUCUCAUAUUUCCCGAUUCAAUGGAAAAUCGCCACAAUUAUUCUCUUCCCUAAACCAAACAAAUCAAUAGAUAACCCCUCCUCAUACAGGCCUAUUAGUUUGUUACCCUUUUUUGCAAAACUUUUAGAAAAACUAAUAUUAAACAGAAUCUACCUAAUCAUCAAAGAAAAGAAACUAAUUCGACACGCAAUUUGGAUUUAUAGAACAUCACUCAACCAUUCACCAAAUACACCGACUAGCUGAUACCAUUGUCUUUUCUCUGGAAAAGAAACAAUACACUUCUGCAGUAUUUAUUGAUGUUGCACAGGCCUUUGACAAGGUCUGGCAUCCCGGUUUUCUUUUUAAACUAAAAUCGUUCCUACCCCCCUCAUAUUACCUUUUUUUUACAGCGUACCUCAACGAACGUCACUUCUUUGCAGGUCAAGAACCGAAUACUCCAGUAUAUCCCCAAUAUUGGCCGGCGUCCUCAAGGCGCAGUCGUAUCUCCAACUCUUUUUAAUCUAUACUCUGCGGACCAACCCACCAAUCUGAAUACUCAAAUAGCCGAAUAUGCCGACGACAAAGCAAUAUAUACCACCCACACCGAACCUGACAUAGUUUUAUCUACUCUCCAAAGCCAUCUGAAUGACCUAUCACACUGGUAUUCCCUCUGGCGCGUCAAAAUUAAUGAAAACAAAUCUGUACACACCACCUUCGCUCUCCGACACAGACAACCUCCUCCGGUACAUAUAAACAGUAAACCAAUACCAAACUCCGACAUACCUAAAUAUCUAGGUCUAACCUUCGACAACGUCUAACAUGGGCUAAACACAUUCACACAACACAAUUAAAAUUAAACCAACGACUUUACUCUCUCAAACCAAUUCUUGGUAAAUUCUCAAAAUUAUCCCUCAAAACCAAAAUUCACAUCUAUAAUUUUCUUCUUAAGCCUAUCUGACUCUAUGGCAGUGGUUUUCAACCUUUUUAACAAUGCGGUACACUUCAUCUCUAACAAAAUUUUCGCGGCACAUCAAUUCAUAAAUGAUGUGAAACAUAAUUUAUAUAUAUAUAUACAUGUAUACUAUUUACAGUAUACUCUAUUAGAGGGUUGUUUAUUGUGAAAUAUGUUAAUACAAUCGAUCGGUCGAGACGGCCGCGACGGGCAUACUUACAAUGAAUAAUAUUAUGUGUAUCUACGAUUAGUUCGAUCAGUUUUCAUAUCGAAUAUCAAUGAUAAGCUGGUAAAUACAUGCUUAUAAAACAAUUUAUAGAUUUAUCACGGUACGUUUAAAGGGCGCUCGCGGCACACCGGUUGGGAACCACUGCUCUAUAGUAUCGAACUCUGGGGCACAGCAAAAAUAUCAAAUACACAAAAAAUACAAGUGUUCCAAUCAAAAAUCCUUCGACUCAUAACCAAUGCUCAUCCGUAUAUUUCAAACCACACACUAUAUACAGAUCUUCACAGUUCUAAAGUCAUUGAUACAACCAAGCUAUAUUACUCAAAAUUUAGGAAUCCCCUUCAAAAUCACACUAAUCCUCAUAUUAAAAAGCUACUAUCUAUCUCCAUCCUAGGAUAUCUCCCAAAAGACUUAAACGACAAUGGCCACAUGACCUUAUAAGAUAGAGAUUUUGUAGUCUUAGUUUUGGAUAUCCAAUUUCGAGAUCCACUCAACUGCUUCUGAUGUGGCCAUAUGGAGUUUGUUCAUGCCCUUGCUGAAUAAUCUCCUUGGACAUUCUUCAACAAUAUGUUCAAUUGUUUGUAUCGUACUUCCACAAUCACAUUCUGAUUGUGAUCCAUUCUUUGCGCUGUAAGUGGAACCCUGGUUGUCUGGUUGUUGGAUACUCAAUGAGGUUCAGUUUGUCUGGAUUCUCGACUUUCCAUUCAUUUAUCCACUUGGAAUUUGGAUUGAAGCCGUCCAAUCGUAAGUUUUGUGCUAAUUUCCAUGGAGGUUUACGAGAUUUCAGCCUUUGUGUUUGGCUGUGGUUAAUAUCUUUAUGAAUCGGCAGAUCAUUAUGUUCUUGGGGUACAAAGGUAAAUUGCUUCCACGCAGUGUACCCCGGGUAACGUCCUAGACAGCUAAAGUUUUACCAACACCGGCGACCGAACUGUCCAUAUAUAUGGAUCUCCCGGUCUACAACA